rnacentral:rRNA from 1 species
UACGUAGGGGGCAAGCGUUGUCCGGAUUUAUUGGGCGUAAAGAGCUCGUAGGCGGUUCGGCAAGUCGGGUGUGAAAUUUCGAGGCUCAACCUCGAAACGCCACUCGAUACUGCUGUGACUGGAGUCCGGUAGAGGAGUGCGGAAUUCCUGGUGUAGCGGUGAAAUGCGCAGAUAUCAGGAGGAACACCAACGGCGAAGGCAGCACUCUGGGCCGGUACUGACGCUGAGGAGCGAAAGCGUGGGGGAGCAAACAGG